AGAGUUUGAUCAUGGCUCAGAUUGAACGCUGGCGGCAUGCCUUACACAUGCAAGUCGAACGGUAACAGGUCUUCGGAUGCUGACGAGUGGCGAACGGGUGAGUAAUACAUCGGAACGUGCCCAAUCGUGGGGGAUAACACAUCGAAAGAUGUGCUAAUACCGCAUAAGAUCUACGGAUGAGAGCGGGGGAUCGCAAGACCUCGCGCGAAUGGAGCGGCCGAUGGCAGAUUAGGUAGUUGGUGGGGUAAAGGCUCACCAAGCCAACGAUCUGUAGCUGGUCUGAGAGGACGACCAGCCACACUGGGACUGAGACACGGCCCAGACUCCUACGGGAGGCAGCAGUGGGGAAUUUUGGACAAUGGGCGCAAGCCUGAUCCAGCAAUGCCGCGUGCAGGAUGAAGGCCUUCGGGUUGUAAACUGCUUUUGUACGGAGCGAAAAGGUCUCUUCUAAUACAGGAGGCCCAUGACGGUACCGUAAGAAUAAGCACCGGCUCACUACGUGCCAGCAGCCGCGGUAAUACGUAGGGUGCAAGCGUUAAUCGGAAUUACUGGGCGUAAAGCGUGCGCAGGCGGUGUUGUAAGACAGAGGUGAAAUCCCCGGGCUCAACCUGGGAACUGCCUUUGUGACUGCAACGCUAGAGUACGGCAGAGGGGGAUGGAAUUCCGCGUGUAGCAGUGAAAUGCGUAGAUAUGCGGAGGAACACCGAUGGCGAAGGCAAUCCCCUGGGCCUGUACUGACGCUCAUGCACGAAAGCGUGGGGAGCAAACAGGAUUAGAUACCCCGGUAGU
rnacentral:rRNA from 1 species